UUCACGCCCAUCUUCCUCUUCUGAUCCUCCUUGCUCCUUGGCUUCUUCAUGGCCAAUUCCUUGAUACCUGAGUAUGCACAAUGUCUCCGUUUGAGGUAGUAGCCAUGUCUCAUGUGCAUCGAAGUGGAAAUGUGAGAGGAGAGAUGUCACCUUGGUUUCGAGAGCUCUUGCACGUGCUCGUGUCAUGGGUCCAAGUGGUGUCGUAGGAGAUGUAGUUGGGUCCAUGGGGAUGACCUUGGGAUGCUCCGCAUCACAAAAGUAAAAGUCCCCUCCAUUGCAGCACAAGGCAAAUAGUCCAACUUUCUCUGGUGAGAGAAUAGUGCAGUCAGAGGCAGAGCAUCAUAAUCCACUUGCUGUUCAAGUACCACCAUACUAAGAUGGAUGUUGUUCAUAAUAAUAUUGCCAGCUUGCUGGACUGGAACAUCAACUAGCUUUUCAUUUGGAACUCCCAUGCCCACCUGGAAUGCAUUUGACGGAAUCACUAGAAGUGUUCUCUUGAGUCAGAACUGAAGGUCACAGUCAGAUCACUAAUGGCCAUCUCCACCACAGGAACAUUAAGAUCCAGAUCAUUGGCCUGCACUUCAUGAAGAAUUGGUUGAAUAGGAGGAUGAUUAUGAAUCACAGGAUUAAGCAUCUCUUCCAGUUUCUGGAAUUCCUCCUGAUUGAGCUCAUGAGCCCCUGCUAUAAGAUCACUGAUCUCCAGGAAAUCUCCUGAUUAGGGUCAGAAUUAUGCUGUAAAUGCUGAUCAUACUGCUCCUCGUGCCCAAUUUCAGCAGGCUGAAUCCCUGGCUGAUCAUCCCAUUCUGGCCAAAACUGCUCCUCAUGCCCAAUGUCAGCAGACUGAAUCCCUGGCUGAUCAUCCCUCCGGCCCAGAUGGUUUACCGGUGCUUUUUUCAGAGCUUGCUGGAACACCAUCAAAUCAGAUGUCAUGGUGGUGAUUAACCUCUUCUCCAACCUGCAAAUGGCUAACUUUCAUUGGCUCAAUUUGCCAGACAUUGUUUUGAUCCCCAAGAAAGAGUCUGAGCCGUGUACUACCUUCCAUCAACGUGUCUAAAGGCAUUAAGAAGAGUCUAAGCAACAAGAUGAAGGCUUUCCUUUGGGGCUGUACCGAAAGGAUUUAUGGUGGAAAAUGCAAGGUUAAUUGGUAGCAUGUUUGUCGUCCAGCCGAUCUGGGAGGGCUUGGAGAUCUCCACCUCGGCAAGUUCUCCUGCGCCAUGAGCCUCUGCUGGUUGUGGCUUGUUUGGACAUCCCGGAGUGGCCUUGGGUUGGUCUCGAUCUCCAUUGCUACCACUCCGCUGGUUGUGGUUUGUGUGGAUUUGAAUCUAGUUUCAUGUUAUUCUUUAUGCGAACAUAUUUUUUCAUAUUCUCUGGAAAAGAGAUGCGGAAUAACAUCACUCUCAGUCUUGCAGAAUUUUCAGAGUGAUAUUUAUAAAACCAUCUGUCUAGUUUUAUUUUGUAAUAUGGUUCAAUCGUUUCUUUUC